GACCUGUUCUUGAAUCUUUAAAAUUCGAUUUUACAGAGGUUGAUAUUGCAGCAACACGUAUUUGUCUUAGUUUUGUGCGGUUUGCUCACAGGCUGGGAGGAUGACAGCUCGAGUGUAUUUCUCGUUGAUUGCUGUUUUUUCGUGUCUGUUCGGAUACUUGAGCAUAGCCCACGCUAUUCAAAGACGAACCACAGUGGAUGGUUUCUGUCCGGCGAGGCUGACGGUCGUGCCGUUCCAUCGAGGAUGUUCCUCUGAUGAAGACUGCCCUGGAGGGCACAAAUGCUGUCAAUUUGACUGUGGGCCUGUUUGCGUGCUGCCUGUUUUCAUGAAGCCGGGUCAGUGUCCCGUACCGGAGAUGAUUCCACUGUGUGCUAAAA